rnacentral:pre_miRNA from 2 species
UCCAAUAUGCUGCCUUUGCCUGCAUUUGCACCUGCACUUUACUUGCUUUUCUCUCUUCAACUAUCUACCUUAAGUAGUUCCUACAAAACACACAUGUUCAUGGAAUUAAACACAAGAUUACGUUGUGUAUGUGUGUGGGAAUGGAUGAGAAACCAAGCAAGCACGAGGUGCAGGUGCAUCUGCAGGCGAAUGACAUCUUGGA